CCCCCCCUCCCUGCUGGGGAAUAAAGUGGCUACAGUGAUGGCAGGGCGGGGCAGGAACCGAGCAGGGUGACUGGAGAGGGCUAAGGUCUCCUCCAGAGUGAUCCCUCUCCCCCAAUGCACCCCCACAGUCUGAGGUGUUGGAUAACGCUGAUGCAGAGAGAAAUAAGAUGACUAAAUCACCUGCAGGUGACCAUGAUGGCUGAGCACUAGGCACUGAUCCUGAUGCUGCCGUGACUUCAUGAGGAUGUCUCACUUCAAGGCAUCAAUCUGCCCAUGAGAUCUAAUCCGAUGUCCUUGGGAUGCAGAGGCUCCAUGUAACAUGAGGUGCAGUGCGUUGAAGGCAGCAGCAAGAUGGUGAAGGAGGACAGGAGGAUGUAAAGCUCUGAGUCGUAGCGACUGGAGAAAGUGCUAUACGAGUACCGUCAGAGUUCUCUGUAAAGGAUUUCUUACAAACUGUACAGCUGAACGGUUUCUCUCCGAAACAAUUGUUGAAAUAAACAUCUUACACA